rnacentral:rRNA from 1 species
AAGUGAUCACUCGUCCCAAGCCACUCGCUCACUCACUAUGGGCGUUUCCAGCUUUGGCAACAAGAUAAGAUAGCUCACAGGAGCAUGAGCCACGGGGCAAUGGGAGGGCGCUGCUUCCUGAACCUCCUCCCCUGCUCCACGACCCCCUGCAAAGACAGCGUCGGCGUCGGCGUCGGCACGCCCGGUUCGUCGUCAUGCCGCCACUCCGUCCACCACCACCGCGCCAGAGCGCGCGGCCCGAGGAGAAACGCGGCCGCCAGGGUGUCCUGCUCCGCCGCCGCCGCGCAGGCGCCGCCGUCGCAGAGCACAAUCAAGGUGGUCAUCGUCGGCGCGACCAAGGAGAUGGGGAGGGCGGCGAUCGCGGCGGUGAGCAGGGCGCGGGGGAUGGAGCUCGCGGGCGCCAUUGACACCCAGUGCAUCGGGAUGGAUGCAGGAGAGCUAAGCGGCAUGGAAGAAGCCCUGGAGAUCCCGGUGCUCAAUGACCUCACCAUGGUCCUCGGCUCCAUAGCACAGACAAGAGCAACUGGUGUGGUUGUUGACUUCAGUGAACCUUCAUCCGUCUAUGACAAUGUCAAGCAGGCAGCAGCAUUUGGCUUAAGCAGUGUCGUAUACGUUCCGAAAAUCGAGAUGGAUACAGUAACUGAACUGUCAGCAUUCUGCGACAAGGCAAGCAUGGGUUGCCUGGUCGCGCCAACGCUGUCAAUCGGCUCGGUGCUCCUUCAGCAAGCUGCAAUCCAGGCCUCAUUCCACUACAACAACGUCGAGAUAGUGGAAUCAAGACCUAACCCAUCGGACUUGCCAUCGCCAGAUGCGAUACAGAUUGCGAAUAACAUAUCUGAUCUUGGUCAGAUCUACAACAGACAAGAUAUGGAUUCCGAUAAUCCAGCAAGAGGUCAGGUACUUGGAGAAGAUGGGGUGCGUGUGCACAGCAUGGUUCUUCCAGGGCUUGCGUCGAGCACGUCGGUCGUUUUGUCGGGCCCCGGAGAGGUUUACACCUUGAAGCAUGAUGUUACAGACAUCCAGAGCCUAAUGCCAGGACUGAUUCUGGCAAUACGGAAGGUGAUACGCCUGAAGAACUUGAUUUAUGGUCUGGAGAAGUUCUUGUAGGAAAUGAUCAAGUCACAUUCACAUAUCAUGAGAACUAGAGGUCAUUUUUUCGAGGAAGAGAACUACAGUUUUUGAUCUUCCAGCUGUUCACCAUAAGAGAUAAAUAGGAUUAAAUCAAUUCCUUGGCUCAUAAUCAGAUAAGUGCCAACGACAAAGCGGAUCCGAGACCUAAGAACGCGAUGCAGAGUUUCGAAAAGAAUGGCUCCAUGCAUAAGAUGACACUUCUGAUAGAGGUCUAGACAAUGAGCAAGCUGAUGACAAGCUCUCAUGUUUAUACCUGGUGGCUUACUAUACUGUUAGAGGCUUUUUCAGAACCAUACUCAUAGAGAUAAAUGAUACCGGUCACGCUAUGAUGCGGGUCCUUUCCGGUGUACCAACUUUUUUUUGGAACUCUAGUGUACCCUUUAACUUGGUUUCGUCUACAACUCUGAAAGCACUACAGGAUUGCUAGACAGAAAUCACUGCCGAUAGGGCAUUAAGAAAUCACACAGGAGCAUUGUAACUACAAACAUCGGUUCAAAUAUUCACAGCAGCAUCAACAAUGCAG